rnacentral:rRNA from 1 species
UACGUAGGGUGCGAGCGUUGUCCGGAAUUAUUGGGCGUAAAGAGCUUGUAGGCGGUCUGUCGCGUCUGCUGUGAAAAUCCGGGGCUCAACCCCGGACUUGCAGUGGGUACGGGCAGACUAGAGUGUGGUAGGGGAGACUGGAAUUCCUGGUGUAGCGGUGAAAUGCGCAGAUAUCAGGAGGAACACCGAUGGCGAAGGCAGGGCGCUGGGCCACUACUGACGCUGAGAAGCGAAAGCAUGGGGAGCGAACAGG